UCGUGAGAACAAAAAAUGGGUGACAACCGUAUCAAGAAAAUACUGAUCUGGUCUUUAAAAAAAAGGGGGGGGGUCUAUUUCCUCUCUUCCUUCAUCCUCCUUUUCCCCCUCCCUAUCUUCUGGGGCUGGCGCAGCUACAAGUUAUGCAUCUGAAACAUUGCUCCCGAGAAGUGGCUGCUCCUGAGAAACAGCUGACAUUUGGAGGAAUUUCAGAUCCAGAUACAAUCCAAACUCAUCUAGUGCCUAGAUCCUUUCCACUGGGUUCUUGCAGGGUUUAAUAUAUGUGAUUAAUCUUGACUCGGUGUAAUACUGCUAGGAAUGUGGCAAUGACCUCAGCUGAACACUGGGAAAGUGAUUAAUGUUACAUGAACAAGGAUAUUUCUUAUUCUGGAUGCUGAAUAAAUACAGACAUGCAGUAUUCAGUUACAGACCUUUGCUCAAUUGAAAAUUGGUCCUGGAUUCAAAGAAUAAUGUUUCAGAUGACAUAAACAGUGUUAGGGGAAACACAGCUCUUGUUGAACUGCUUCAACAAAUUCUGCUUCAAGCUAAACUUCUAGUGAAUAUAAAAGAUAUAUGAUGCAAUCAACAAAGUGAGCCGUAGUAAGACAAAUCUUUGCAAUGAGUAACCAUGGAUUGAAUUUCCCAACACUUUACGUUUUGUGAAAUAAAUGGUUCACCAAAGGUCUAUGUUAAAUAAAAGCUUUUCACUUCC